UAUUAUGAGAGUUUGAUCCUGGCUCAGGACGAACGCUGGCGGCGUGCCUAAUACAUGCAAGUCGAACGCUUCUUUUUCCACCGGAGCUUGCUCCACCGGAAAAAGAGGAGUGGCGAACGGG
rnacentral:rRNA from 1 species